rnacentral:rRNA from 1 species
UACGUAGGGCGCAAGCGUUAUCCGGAAUUAUUGGGCGUAAAGAGCUCGUAGGCGGUUUGUCGCGUCUGCUGUGAAAGACCGGGGCUCAACUCCGGUUCUGCAGUGGGUACGGGCAGACUAGAGUGAUGUAGGGGAGACUGGAAUUCCUGGUGUAGCGGUGAAAUGCGCAGAUAUCAGGAGGAACACCGAUGGCGAAGGCAGGUCUCUGGGCAUUAACUGACGCUGAGGAGCGAAAGCACGGGGAGCGAACAGG